ACUUCUCCUCCUUUGUUCUUCUGACUUCUCCUCCUUCGUUCUUCUUCUCGUCGCAUACUCCAAUCUUCUCCGCCUCCUCCGACUUCCAACCUGCACAUGCCAGAAAGUUCACUGAUAUGCUAAGGAAGGAACCUCAUAGCCUACAAAGAAGAGAUGAAUCUGGUCGAUAAGCCAAGUUGCAGAGUAUGGCCCGAGAACACACAAUUACUAGCUCCCUCCGAUUCGUCUCUUGUUCCUUCUCUCUCGCCUCCAGAUGGGCGAUUCUGACCUUGAUUCAUAUAUCAAAGAGAGUGAAUAUCAGGAGAAGAACCCUCUUAUAAAAGUGUUAGAUAGACACAUGGUGGGCUAAAUAGGAGAGAAAGCUACCGCAAAAGUUAUGGGACAAAAAUUAUGUUCUAUUCAAAGCAUGAUAAAAAGAUUCAUGUGAAAGAAGAGGAAAUGACAACCAUACAAGCCAAGAAGCUGAGCUUAAGAUGUUAAGGAAGAGUUUGAACUUCAAGUCCACCCCGAUGUCUACCUUCUAUCAAGAAUAUCACCACCUAAAACUCAUUAGGUAAUGAUUAAAAACUAGGUUGACGUAUAUAUGUGGGUUGUAUUUUCCAUGGGAAGUUUUUGCUAAUUGUUUGUUUAAGUUUUUAGGUUUGUGGUGUAUUAUUCAAUUCUCUUGUAGGCAUAUGGCAAUAUUACAUGAGAAAGAGGAGGAUCUCUCGGCCAUGUAUAAAUCGCACUACCAGGAAAUGUCCUAGCCACCGCACCACUAGAAACCUUCCUAGCCUCCACACCACGAGGAACCAUAUCAGCUACUUCAGCACAUUGUCCAUCAUUUUAAGAACUUUUUACCUUCUCUUAUGAAUGUUUAAUAUUUUGUAAGGCUUUGAUUUGCAACAUUUUGGUUCAUCUAAUUUUUAUAUAAUUACAACAUUUUGUUUUAGCA